rnacentral:rRNA from 1 species
GAUGAACGCUGGCGGCGUGCCUAAUACAUGCCAGUCGAGCGAACAGACGAGGAGCUUGCUCCUCUGACGUUAGCGGCGGACGGGUGUGUAACACGUGGAUAACCUACCUAUAAGACUGGGAUAACUUCGGGAAACCGGAGCUAAUACCGGAUAAUAUAUUGAACCGCAUGGUUCAAUAGUGAAAGACGGUUUUGCUGUCACUUAUAGAUGGAUCCGCGCCGCAUUAGCUAGUUGGUAAGGUAACGGCUUACCAAGGCAACGAUGCGUAGCCGACCUGAGAGGGUGAUCGGCCACACUGGAACUGAGACACGGUCCAGACUCCUACGGGAGGCAGCAGUAGGGAAUCUUCCGCAAUGGGCGAAAGCCUGACGGAGCAACGCCGCGUGAGUGAUGAAGGUCUUCGGAUCGUAAAACUCUGUUAUUAGGGAAGAACAAAUGUGUAAGUAACUAUGCACGUCUUGACGGUACCUAAUCAGAAAGCCACGGCUAACUACGUG